AACGAACGCUGGCGGCAGGCUUAACACAUGCAAGUCGAACGCAUCCUUCGGGGUGAGUGGCAGACGGGUGAGUAACGCGUGGGAAGGUGCCCUUCAGUUUGGGAUAACCCAGGGAAACUUGGGCUAAUACCGGAUACGUGCGAGAGCAGAAAGAUUUAUCGCUUAAGGAUCGGCCCGCGUCUGAUUAGCUAGUUGGUGGGGUAAUGGCCCACCAAGGCGACGAUCAGUAGCUGGUCUGAGAGGAUGAUCAGCCACAUUGGGACUGAGACACGGCCCAAACUCCUACGGGAGGCAGCAGUGGGGAAGAUUGGACAAUGGGCGCAAGCCUGAUCCAGCCAUGCCGCGUGAGUGAUGAAGGCCUUAGGGUUGUAAAGCUCUUUCGUCCGGGACGAUAAUGACGGUACCGGAAGAAGAAGCCCCGGCUAACUUCGUGCCAGCAGCAGCCGCGG
rnacentral:rRNA from 1 species